rnacentral:lncRNA from 1 species
AUGAAGUGGAAUGGGGCAUUAAUAUACAAAGAGCAAGGGGGAAAGAGCUUGUCACUUUGGAUUAACAAUUGCACAAGUCUCCAUGCUGAGCCAAGCACUGAAGAAAUAUUAAAUGGCUCAAGGACUCCUGAAGGUACAGGCAUUACCCAGGCAUUUGGGAAAAUGGAAAGUGGAAGUAAAAUUGAUUUAGUUAAAUUUUAUUUUCUGCUUUUCUAAAAAAAAAUGAUGGUUGAGGAAUGAAGGAAGGGAAAAAAUGGAGGUAUUAGAUUAACACCAAGUAUGUAAUAUAAGAAUUAGAUUAAUAAAAUCCUGACUUGUUCAAAAAAAAGAAAACA